CACGACGAGAGACAUGCUUGGAUGGGAUGGGCUCCACCUUUCCCCUAAAGGUAAGCGUGUAUUUUCUUCUAGGUUGGAGGACCUCCUCCGGUAGGCUUUAAACUAGGCUCGUCGGGGGAAGGGGAAGACUAGGGCAGAGGAAGCUGUG